rnacentral:lncRNA from 1 species
CCAGCCGGCUCCCUCUCUCCCCUUUUAUUCUUGUGGGAACUCAACCUGAGAAGAGCCGAAGAGGAGUGGAUCCCCAGCCAAGUUGCUUCCUCUGUUUCACGCCUGGCCUUUUAUAGGUUCCAAUCUUUCUUUCCUCUUCCUUAUUUCGAAUCAUGGAUAAGGAUGAACCCUUUGCCGUUGGGAUGAAGUUUGGCCUGAUUCGCUGGACUGCUAUGGUUCGGAUCUUAGAUCCGGCUGCUGGGAUGCUGAUCAAAGGAGAAGAUGCGUGAAGCCGGACGCGUGGAAAGAUGAAGUCAAUCCGAACGGCUGGAAUGCU